UGGGCUGGGUGGCACCAGCUGAUCCAACACAACGCAGGGUCUGAAAAAUACCUCUAACACCAAUCUUAGGAUUUACAAUAGUGAUGCUAUCCAUAGGAGCAACUGGGGAGAGAAUGCUCCAAAGUUUAGGAGAAGAUGGAAGAACUGGGGAGUAGGAGACAGCAACAAAGACAUCCCGGAAAGACCGGAAAGGACUGGCUAGAGAAUUGCAAUCAUCAUGGAUGACCGAGGUGGACAUGCCUAAAGUUAUGGAGAAAAAUACUUAGAAGAACUUUUAGAGAGCUCCUGCCUACAGAAAGAGAAUAAUUCAACAAGUAGUGUAGCCUACAAUUUACCAAGAAGAAUUGGCAGAGCAAAGACAUAAGCCUCACCAAAAUGAUGACAUUAUUCACAUUAACACAUAACGGCUCUGUGUGUUAUUAUCAAACAACCUAUCUCUAAUGAAAGUGAUGCUUAUUGAUAAAAACUAAAUUAGUAAGCCAACAUACUAGUUUGUGUUUCAAGCAAACUUUAUAAAACUUUUAUUUGGUCAAAGCUAGUAUAAAUGUUCUUAUCUAAGUCAAAGAAUGUUAGAAUUACAAAUAAA